rnacentral:lncRNA from 10 species
CGAAAUGAUGGGAUGAUUUUUAUUUCCUCGCAAGUGGCAGCGCUGCAGUGGUGAGGACAGUGGGCGGGGGAGUCAACAAACUUUCUGCAGGGGGUUAGCGAGUGAAUCAUUGAGGCUUUGCAGGCCACACAGUCUCUGUUGUCACUACUCCGUCGUUGUAGCAUGAAAACAGCCAGAGACCAUACCUAAACGUGUGGGCAUGGUUGUAAAUAAAACUCUAUUUACAAAAGCAGGUGGUGGGUUGGACCUGGCACGUGGCUGGUAGUGUGACAUCCCUGGGUUGGGGGCAUAGGCUUGGAGACAGACCUUCCUCAGUCUUGGCUUACUGCAUGCCCUUGACAAGUGACUUUGCCUCCCUGAGCCCCAUUUCCUCAGCCGGCACAUGGCACAGUUACAGAACCGGGGAGUCCCUGUGAACACGAACCAGGACAAUGAUGCAUCUGCAGGGAGAUGAGGCAUUUCCAGUUAGCUGAUAGUUGCAUCCACAGGGUCUAGAACAGUGCCUGACACCUGAUGGUAACUCCGUAAAUAUUUGUCAAAUAAUGUACAUGACACACUUAGACCCAUGCCUGGUGCAGGGUAAUCACUCCUGAAAUAGGACUUUUCUUGGCAGGCUGUGACCAGGGAAGCAGGGAGGAUGGGUCUGACUCCUUUAAGGCAGUUUACCAUCUCCCAGGACACUUCCUGGUCAAGCAGUUAUGGAAAUUUUGCUUCUCCUUUUGAGCUUUUUCCAAACGUUACACAGUGGUCUACCUAAAACAAGAUUUUAUAGUCAGGAAAUAAAGAUAAUAAAAGCUACUUAAUAAAAUCCUUCUACCAGCAAGCAUGCAGUCCACAAGUGUAUGCAGCCCACAGGUGUAUGCAAUCCACAGGUGUAUGCAGUCCACAGGUGCAUGCAGUCCACAGGUGUAUGCAGCCCGCAGGUGUA